CGGGAUGUAGCGCAGCUUGGUAGCGCGCUGCUUUGGGAGCAGGAUGCCGCAGGUUCGAAUCCUGUCAUCCCGA
rnacentral:tRNA from 1 species